rnacentral:rRNA from 1 species
CAAAGGAAGCGAUUCCGGCGGGGGAUGGGCAUGCGGCGCAUUAGCUAGUCGGCGGGGUAACGGCCCACCGAGGCGACGAUGCGUAGGGGUUCUGAGAGGAAAGUCCCCCACACUGGUACUGAGACACGGACCAGACUCCUACGGGAGGCAGCAGUGAGGAAUAUUGGUCAAUGGGCGGGAGCCUGAACCAGCCAAGUCGCGUGAGGGAAGACGGUCCUAUGGAUUGUAAACCUCUUUUGCCGGGGAGCAACGGGGUCCUUGCGAGGGCCUGAUGAGAGUACCCGGAGAAAAAGCAUCGGCUAACUCCGUGCCAGCAGCCGCGGUAAUACGGAGGAUGCGAGCGUUAUCCGGAUUUAUUGGGUUUAAAGGGUGCGUAGGCGGGCUGUUAAGUCAGCGGUCAAAUGUCGGGGCUCAACCCCGGCCUGCCGUUGAAACUGGUGGCCUCGAGUGGGCGAGAAGUAUGCGGAAUGCGUGGUGUAGCGGUGAAAUGCAUAGAUAUCACGCAGAACUCCGAUUGCGAAGGCAGCAUACCGGCGCCCGACUGACGCUGAGGCACGAAAGCGUGGGUAUCGAACAGGAUUAGAUACCCUGGUAGUCCACGCAGUAAACGAUGAAUGCUAGCUGUCCGGGGCUUCGGUCCUGG